AAGGAAUAUUGGUCAAUGGGCGCAAGCCUGAACCAGCCAUGCCGCGUGAAGGAAGAAGGCCCUAUGGGUUGUAAACUUCUUUUGUACGGGAAAAAACCUCUGGUCGAGCAUCAGAGCUGAUGGUACCGUAAGAAUAAGCAUCGGCUAACUCCGUGCCAGCAGCCGCGGUAAUACGGAGGAUGCAAGCGUUAUCCGGAUUCAUUGGGUUUAAAGGGUGCGCAGGCGGAGUGAUAAGUCAGUGGUGAAAGCCUACAGCUUAACUGUAGAACUGCCAUUGAUACUGUCAUUCUUGAGUAUUGUUGAGGUAGGCGGAAUGUGUCAUGUAGCGGUGAAAUGCUUAGAUAUGACACAGAACACCGAUCGCGAAGGCAGCUUACCAAGCAAUAACUGACGCUCAUGCACGAAAGCGUGGGGAUCAAAC
rnacentral:rRNA from 1 species